rnacentral:rRNA from 1 species
AGCGAACGUUUGCGGCGGGCUUAACACAUGCAAGUCGAACGAGAAUCCCUUCGGGGAGGAAAGUGGCGCACGGGUGCGUAACACGUGGAUAACCAACCCAUUGGUUUGGGACAACACCGGGAAACUGGCGCUAAUACCAGAUGUGUCGCAGCUGUCUUCAGGCGGUUGCGAGAAAGGCCCGCAAGGGUCGCCAACGGACGGGUCCGCGUCCCAUCAGCUAGUUGGUGAGGUAAUGGCUCACCAAGGCAAAGACGGGUAGCUGGUCUGAGAGGAUGAUCAGCCACACUGGAACUGAGACACGGUCCAGACUCCUACGGGAGGCAGCAGUGGGGAAUAUUGCGCAAUGGGCGAAAGCCUGACGCAGCCACGCCGCGUGAGCGAUGAAGGUUUUCGGAUCGUAAAACUCUGUUGUUAGGGAAGAACAAGUGCCGUUCGAAAGGGCGGCACCUUGACGGUACCUAACGAGAAAGCCACGGCUAACUACGUGCCAGCAGCCGCGGUAAAGUACAGUGU